UGUUACCUUCUCAUAGAGUCACUGGCUUUCAGGAGAAGGAGAAGCAAUUCUAGAAGGAGAAGUUGGCAUAUACAGCUUCCUUCCUGCCCUAUGGGCUAGCCAGCAAGAGGAUUCUACAGUCAUGGAACUGGAUGAGCCACUGCCCAAACAGCCGCCAUCUUUACAAAAUGGACCCAUCACGAAUAUUGAAAAGCUUGGAAGUAUCACUUUUGAAAAAAAUUCUUUUGCAUUCAGCAUGGACUUGACCAGCAUCUAUGGAGAUUAUUUUUUUGCUUCAUUUUCUAAAGUUGUAUUUAGAAAAGUCUUAAGUAUUGUGCUUUGUAAAGAAGAUGAUUAAAAUGAAGUUUUGUGAAAAUAUUUUUGUUCAAAGUUGUCAUGGUCCAAGAGGAAUGAUAUCUUGGAAUUCAAGUCAUUUUUCUCCAUUUUACACAAUUUGAUUACUCUC
rnacentral:lncRNA from 1 species